GACGUAGGGCGCGAGCGUUGUCCGGAUUUAUUGGGCGUAAAGAGCUCGUAGGCGGCUUGUCGCGUCGUCCGUGAAAACCUGCGGCUCAACUGCAGGCUGGCGGUCGAUACGGGCAGGCUGGAGUUCGGUAGGGGAGACUGGAAUUCCUGGUGUAGCGGUGAAAUGCGUAGAUAUCUGGAGGAACACCGGUGGCGAAGGCGGCAUUCUGGACCGAUAUUGACGCUGAGGAGCGAAAGCCAGGGGAGCAAACGGG
rnacentral:rRNA from 1 species